rnacentral:ncRNA from 1 species
CUACUGCGUCCAAGAGGUUGCAGGAUGGGCAUACAGAAGUCAGCCGAAGGCAUAGUAGGUCUGCAAAGUUCGACCAGACUGAAGGCC